UGCUCCCUGUCUGGGCCUCGGAGGGGCGGCUAGUGUCGUGUGCAUUUGGGGGAUUCAGGGUAGAUGCUGGCGAAGAACUCCCAGCAGGGCAGGAAGAUUCCAAUCCCUGUAAGAACAACUUGGGAAAGCAAGAUAAGAAAGGCUGCAGCUCUGCCUCUAGCCUGUGGGGAUGCAGAAGGCUGGACAAAAUGACCUGGGGGUUAGGCGGGGGAGGAGGCUUGGUUCUCUCCCUGCUGCCCCCAUCGAGGGGACUUAGCGUGUGGCUGUUGAGUUAGACUCCGAGACCUCUGCCCUGACACUGUCCACCAGCAAGUGAUACAAAGCACUUUCACAUCAGAGUCUCAGGGUAGGAAUCUUCCAAAUCCAUUUUGGAGGCAAAAAAUUAAGGCCCAAACAAGGUAAAGGACGUGCUCGGGGUGGAGGCAAGAGGGUGGUGGAUCUUGGAGUGAGGGUCCAGUAAGGGUUCUUCCCACGACGGUCCUCCAGCCCCAAAGCGCCUGCACCCAGACCUCUCCGUCCACCCACCCGCCCCUCAGCUGUUGCCUCCCUGGGGGAGCUCCUGCCUUCCCUGCACCCCACCUCAGUCGGAGCCUCUCCCAGUGGCAAACAAAGUGAGGCAUCCCAGAGGGGCGUGGCCAGGCUUCGAAACAGCAAAGGCUGGGGGAUAAGGACUCAGGCUGGGAACAGUCUGCCCAGCCCUUCCCUGACCAUGCAUAUAAAGUACCCCAGGCCCCACCACCAUUUUUCCCCCUUAGCCCUGCUUUAUUGUUCUUCCUAGCAUUUAUGUCGCUGGUCUAUCAUACAUUUAUUUACUUGUUACUGUCUGUUGUGUGCAUUAGAUGGUCCUCUCUACAGAGCUUGGCUUUUGUCUGUUUUGUUUAUGGCUGUACCUGCAAUGCGUAGGACAGGCGCCUCUAAAUCUUCACAUGAAAAAUGAAUGGCUCUCACCCUGCCACAAAUUAGUUGUGUGCCUUGGGCAAGUUACCUACCUCUCAGUUAACAUUUAUGCCCUUACCAUGUGCCGGCACUAUUUAUCUAUGGGCUUUGUACAUAGAAAGCCCUUUAAGCCUCACGGCAAUCCUAUGAACUGAUGACCAUUAUUCUCCUUGGUCAUUGGCAGGUGAGGAAAAUGAGGCCCAGAGAGGUGAGGUGACCUGCUUAAGGGAGGUGGCUGUUGGCAGAGAUGGGAUGUCACAGGUGGGAACAAGGGCUUGACCUAGAACUGAAUGAAUUGCUGGUCCACUCUGGCCUCUGCUUCUGUCCCCUACUCCCCAUAAUUCCUUGCCUAGAAAACAGGGUUAAUCACAGCCCUCCCUUCCCUGCCACCCCCCCCCCCACUGUUCGCUCCCAUCACCCACAGGGGCUGAGUCUUCGGGGCGGUGAUGGCACAGUUGAGGUUCGGGGGCAGGGGGCCUGGGAAGAGGCCAAGGUGUCAUGAGCUCUCUGGCUGCCCCACAAGUAUUAGGGCUUCUUCAGAGGCCUGGGGGUUGACUCCUCUUCCCCUUCCCACACUCUUCUGGUCUUGGGUUCCCUUUCUGUGAAGUGGGGAGGGGUCUCUCAGGCCCAGGGAUGAGGGCGGGAGAAGUGAUACGAAGAGAUUUCCGUUUCUGGCAACAUGGUGGUCUGUACCAGCUCCGGCUAAAAAGAAAACAAAAAGUGCUGGAUAGAAUAAAAGCAUCUUUUUCAAAGCAUUGACGAGCUCACAAGGCAUUAAGGAAUGGGAUCAAAAUCUUAGCGAAAGCAGACUCCAGGAAGUGAGUGGGGCACUGGGGCCCCUCAUGCCCUGAGAGCACCGGCCAAACUGAGCCAAAGUGACCUUUGGCUUUGACAGAGUGUGGAGUGAGGAGGGGCUCGCUUGAGGAGGGGAGGCAAGGGGGACACCCCACAUAACGCUGAGACCCCAAAGGGCUACACGCUUAAGCCAAAAACCAGAGGAAAUGUACCCCCGCCCCACGGGAGUGCAGGGAACUUGGCCUUGGUGCUGAAUGGAGCCACGGAGGACAGGAAACAGGCCUUAGGAGCUCAAGCUCCAGGCCACCCUGGUGUGAGUCUGGACUAGGGGAGGAGGAGGGGCACCAGGAGAACACAGCCUAGACUUCUGGAAGCGCCCCUAGGAGCAGUACACCUUCCUCUCGGGCCUCAAAGACAUCCUACGGGUGACCUUCCCAGGGAAGCAAGCAGUUCUCUGCCCAAAGCAUCCAAGGACCAUCGAUCUGGAGAUCAGUCAGCGAGGGUGUCUCACAGGCUCAGAGCUCUCACCGUAAAUGAGGGGGCUUAACCAGGGGCACGCCAAGAUCCCCUCUGGCAGAGGGAUUCUCGGGGGGUGAGGCGAAAGUGUGUCCCCACUUUGUUUUCUUCUGGGAUGCCUUUUCAGGGUGAAGACAUAGGGGAUGGCUGUGAUGAGUGACCUGUCUUCUCUAACCAGGCUGGAAGGAGAUGGGCUCCUCCAGCUGAAACGCCAACACCUGUGUAACGAUGGCGCCUCUGGAGCCAGCCGUGGCUGCUAUUGUGUGCACCUUCCAGGAAUAUUCAGGGCCCUGUUGGAGACAAGUAAAACUCUGCCAGGCAGAGCUCAAGGAACUGCUAGAGAAGGAGCUGCCCACCUGGACCCCGGUGAGCACCUGGGACAGAGCUUUGGGAGUGUGACCACAAUAAGUUCAUGAGUGUCCUGGACACCAGCAAGGAUUGCGAGGUGGACUUUGUGGAGUACACGUGCCUGCUUGCCUGCCCCUGCGCCUGCUGCCGAGACGUGAGGGGACCUUCCCCGGGACCACAGCCAGUGACCUGUAGAACAGCCAGCCGCUGACUCCCCACUGUGGCCCAUGAUGGACGAAGGCUGUCAAGGCCCAGCAGAGUGUGUGAGGGAAGGAGACCACGGUGGGAAAGGGCCUAUUUUGCUCCUAAUAAAGAACUGGCAUCCCUUGGCUCGGUUUGGUUCUUCUGAGAGGACAGCCGGGGCCUGGGAACAGAGUCCCGCUGAGGCUUCACUCCCCUCUGGCCUUUUCCACUGGAGGACAGGAGGCUAAGGGCACUUUCAGACCUCGCAGAAAUG